CACGUGGUCAGGCCCCGCCCCCGCCGCUGUCCUCCGCCUGACCCCGGAGCUCCAGAACCGCUAGCAGAACCACGCGCAGCGGCGGCGGGAGCCCCGAUGCUGACAGGGAUGGUCGUAGCGACCAAUCCGGGUUCAACGCUCGAGCGGUUCGCGGGCUCCUGGCGCUGCUCUGGGGGGUUGUGACGUGAGGAAACGGGGUGUGGUGGUCGGGUAGAGAGCUCUUUGCUUCAUUCACUUGCGCUUUCCACGGAAAGGGUCCGGAUUGUAACCUUUCGGGACCCCUUUGGAAAGCCCCGACUUUGAAUGAAUCGUUAAGAUCUUAUUCUUCUUUGUGUGUUUGAAUUGAGACAGGAUCUCGUUUGGAGUCUUUUGCGGGUCUCUUGAUUCAUGAAGUAACUGCAGAUGACCUUGAACGGAUCCCGCCUCCAUCCUGCAGGUGUUGGGAUUACAGGCAAGCACCACCUCCCUGGGUUUAGACCCCUCUUAUUACUAAAAGGAGAACGAACACUAUAAAUAUUACCUUAGUGAUUGAAGUACUAAGCAAAGGCAGAAUGAGAAGCAGGAAUGUUGGCUUAUACCUGGAAUUCUGCAAGAAGAGGGUGAGGUCACAAAAAGUCUCUGGAGAUACCUUGGACAGAAUUAUAAUCCAAGUAAAACCAGAAACUGCUCAAGUUACGUUUCUUUUCCCCUGUAAAUGGGAUGUAUUGAGAUUACUAGAAAAAUAAAUGUUUAUAUGUGGAGAGAAAAGGGCCUGA
rnacentral:lncRNA from 1 species